AACGAACGCUGGCGGCAGGCCUAACACAUGCAAGUCGAGCGCCCGCAAGGGGAGCGGCGGACGGGUGAGUAACGCGUGGGAACGUACCCUUUGCUACGGAAUAGCCUCGGGAAACUGGGAGUAAUACCGUAUGUGCCCUUCGGGGAAAGAUUUAUCGGCAAAGGAUCGGCCCGCGUUGGAUUAGGUAGUUGGUGGGGUAAUGGCCUACCAAGCCGACGAUCCAUAGCUGGUUUGAGAGGAUGAUCAGCCACACUGGGACUGAGACACGGCCCAGACUCCUACGGGAGGCAGCAGUGGGGAAUCUUAGACAAUGGGGGCAACCCUGAUCUAGCCAUGCCGCGUGAGUGAUGAAGGCCUUAGGGUUGUAAAGCUCUUUCAGCUGGGAAGAUAAUGACGGUACCAGCAGAAGAAGUCCCGGCUAACUCCGUGCCAGCAGCCGCAGUAAAGUACAGUGU
rnacentral:rRNA from 1 species